GAUGAAGAACGCAGCGAAAUGCGAUACGUAAUGUGAAUUGCAGAAUUCAGUGAAUCAUCGAAUCUUUGAACGCAUAUUGCGCUCUCUGGUAUUCCGGAGAGCAUGCUUGUUUGAGUAUCAGUAAACACCUCAACUCCCUUUUCUUUUUUGAAAUCGGAGCUGGACUUGAGUGAUCCCAACGCUUUCUUCCAAGAAAGUGGCGGGUUGCUUGAAAUGCAGGUGCAGCUGAACUUUUCUCUGAGCUAUAAGCAUAUCUAUUUAGUCUGCCUAAAAAACAGAUUAUUACCUUUGCUGCAGCUAACAUAAAGGAGACUAGUUCUUGUGCUGACUGAUGCAGGAUUCACAGAGACAGCUUCGGCUGACUUUGUAAACUCGAUCUCAAAUCAAGUAAGACUACCCGCUGAACUUAAGCAUAUCAAUAAGCGGAGGA
rnacentral:misc_RNA from 1 species